AUUGAACGCUGGCGGCAGGCCUAACACAUGCAAGUCGAGCGGAGCGGCGGACGGGUGAGUAAUGCCUAGGAAUCUGCCUGGGAGUGGGGGAUAACGUCCGGUAACGGGCGCUAAUGCAGCAUCCUCUCAGAUGAGGCUAGGUCGGAUUAGCUAGUUGGUGGGGUAAAGGCACACCAAGGCGACGAUCCUGAUCUGGUCUGAGAGGAUGAUCAGCCACACUGGAACUGAGACACGGUCCAGACUCCUACGGGAGGCAGCAGUGGGGAAUAUUGGACAAUGGGCGAAAGCCUGAUCCAGCCAUGCCGCGUGUGUGAAGAAGGUCUUCGGAUUGUAAAGCACUUUAAGUUGGGAGGCGUUACCAACAGAAUAAGCACCGGCUAACUUCGUGCCAGCAGCCGCGGUAAUAC
rnacentral:rRNA from 1 species